GCCAUCUUAACUCAGCUGGUAGAGCGCGUUGCUUUUAACACGUGGUUGUGGGUUCGAUUCCCACAGACGGCG
rnacentral:tRNA from 1 species